rnacentral:rRNA from 1 species
UUUUAUAAUUGAUUUAUUAAAAAAUUAUUUAUAAUAAAAAUAUUUUUAUUAAAUUAAUUAUUUUUUUGGGGUGAAAGAAAAAUAAAUCAAACUUUUUUUAAAUUUAUACAUAUAUAAGUGAUUAAAUGAUCCAAUUUUAUUGAUUAU